rnacentral:rRNA from 1 species
UUCUGGUUGAUCCCGCCGGACCUGACUGCUAUCGGAUUGAUACUAAGCCAUGCGAGUCAUUGUAGCAAUACAAGGCAUACGGCUCAGUAACGCGUAGUCAACCUAACCUAUGGACGGGAAUAACCUCGGGAAACUGAGAAUAAUGCCCGAUAGAACAUUAUACCUGGAAUGGUUUAUGUUCCAAAUGAUUUAUCGCCGUAGGAUGGGACUGCGGCCUAUCAGUUUGUUGGUGAGGUAAUGGCCCACCAAGACUAUUACAGGUACGGGCUCUGAGAGGAGUAGCCCGGAGAUGGGUACUGAGACACGGACCCAGGCCCUAUGGGGCGCAGCAGGCGAGAAAACUUUGCAAUGUGCGAAAGCACGACAAGGUUAAUCCGAGUGAUUUCUGCUAAAGAAAUCUUUUGUUAGUCCUAGAAACACUAACGAAUAAGGGGUGGGCAAGUUCUGGUGUCAGCCGCCGCGGUAAAACCAGCACCUCAAGUGGUCAGGAUGAUUAUUGGGCCUAAAGCAUCCGUAGCCGGCUCUGUAAGUUUUCGGUUAAAUCUGUACGCUUAACGUACAGGCCGCCGGGAAUACUGCAAAGCUAGGGAGUGGGAGAAGUAGACGGUACUCGGUAGGAAGUGGUAAAAUGCUUUGAUCUAUCGAUGACCACCUGUGGCGAAGGCGGUCUACUAGAACACGUCCGACGGUGAGGGAUGAAAGCUGGGGGAGCAAACCGGAUUAGAUACCCGGGUAGUCCCAGCUGUAAACUAUGCAAACUCAGUGAUGCAUUGGCUUGUGGCCAAUGCAGUGCUGCAGGGAAGCCGUUAAGUUUGCCGCCUGGGAAGUACGUACGCAAGUAUGAAACUUAAAGGAAUUGGCGGGGGAGCACCACAAGGGGUGAAGCCUGCGGUUCAA